rnacentral:tRNA from 1 species
GAGGGCGUAGCUCAACUAGUAGAGUGCGUGCUUUGCAUGCACAAUGUCCUGGGUUCAAUCUCCAGUACCUCCU